ACUUCCAGCAAUUUACUAUAUAUAACUUGAAGUCCUAGAAGUGUUGUUUUGAAACUGCGCUCAGGAAGCACUGCGUAGAGAAGACCAACGUUGGUUCUCAGCUCAGUCACAGGAGCUUGUUCUUCUCGAGAAAUGAAACUAAUGAAUAGAAAACGACAGCACCUCUGUUUACAGGUAUCCCUAGGUACGAAAUUCAAACAGAGACUACAAGGAGGAUUCUCUCCAAUACUGAUUAAGGAAAAAAGCUUUCUUGAACUGGGAGCUAGAAACAUGUGGUCAUGGAGAUGCAAAAGAUGGAGGUGCUUUGCAAGAGAAUUGUCCUCCAAGCAGGAGCCAGGGCUGUGCAACACAGACCAAGUGGAACAUAUCCUUCAUGUAGCACCAUGGAACAUCAACAUAUGUUGAGGAGGCAGAGAGCGAUGAAUCAUGGAACCAGAGGAAGGAAAAUACAGCGCUGUUGGUAACAGUGAGAUCAUCUUUUUUGGGCGCACACAAAUUACUCAUUGCAGACAUCUCUUAAGCUUUCAUCUCAGUUUGUAAGAUUCAGUCUGUACAUCUAGACUACAGAAUAUCCAAUUCUGCAACAUUUUAGUCCUUCUGGAGUCCUUCUGGAGAACUUGCAAUAGAAUUAGUAAUUGGCAGAGAAAAGCAGUUGCUGUUCAGUUAGCCUAAGGAUGCGUGGAAAGGGCACAAAUAAUGGAGUAUUUAAACAGAUAGCAAGGAUUAUGGCAGUCUUGGGUCAAUAGAAACUGUAACUUUUUCAUGUAUUCCUAAAAGCGUGUUUAAUUCUAUAUUAUGGUCUAGAGUUAUUGUCUAAAUCCAUGUUUCAUUAUAAAUAAAUAAAUAAAUAAAUCGACUAUCA
rnacentral:lncRNA from 1 species